GUGAGGGGGUUACUAGUGACAGAGUGAGGGAAGGGGUGACUAGUGGCAGAGUGAGGGAAGGAAGGGGUGACUAGUGACAGAGUGAGGGAUGUGGUGACUGUUACUAGUCACCACCUCCCUCUGUCACUACUCCCUCCCUCCUCCUGUCACUACUCCCUCCCUUCUUCUGUCACUAGUCACCCCCUCCCUCACUCUGUCACCAGUCAUCCCCUCCCUCACUGUGUCACCAGUCAUCCCCUCCCUCACUCUGUCACCAGUCAUCCCUUUCCCUCAC